UAUUUCUCUUUUCUGGUAAUCUUUAUCCAUCCCCGAGCACUUGAAUUUCCUGGUAUCUUUUUUUUUUUUUUUUUUUUUGCAGCCUGAGGAACUUCCUUUAGCAUUUCUUUUUUUUUUUUUUUUUUUUUUUUUUUUGAGACAGGGUCUUGCUCUGUCACCCAAGCUGGGUGAUCUCAGCUCACUGCAACCUCUGCCUCCCAGGCUCAAAUGAUCCUCCUGCCUCAGCCUUCUGAGUAGCUGGGACUAAGGACAUGUGCCACCAUGUCUGGUGUAUUUUUGUAUUUUUUGUAUUUUGUAAUUUUUGUAUUUUUUGUAGAGAAGGGUUUCAACAUGUUGCCCUGGCUGGUCUCAAACUCCUGGUCUCAAGGGAUCCGUCCACCUCAGCCUCCGAAAGGGCUGGGAUUACAGGCGUGAGCCACCAUGCCUGGCCUCCUUUAGGAUUUUCUGUACAACAGGUGAGUGCACUGCAAGAAGGUGGCCAUCUGCAAGCCAGGAAGAGGGCCCUUGCCAGAAACUGAACUGCCUGGCGUCUUGAUCUCGGACUUCCCAGCCUCCAGAACUGUGAGAAAAUAAAUGUCUUGUUUAAACCACCUAGUCUAUGGUAUUUUGCUACAGCAGCCCAAGCAGACUAAUACACAUACCUUCUAAAAGUAUUUAGAAAACCUAUGUAUCUUGCAUUUUUUUUUUUUUUGAGACACGGUCUCCUGCUGUUGCCCAGGCUGGAGUGCAAUGGUGCAAUCUCUGCUCACUGCAACCUCUGCCUCCUGGGUUCAAGAGAUUCUCCUACCUCAGCCUCCCAAGUAGCUGGGGCUACAGGUGCACACCACCAUGCCUGGCUAAUUU
rnacentral:lncRNA from 1 species